UGAAUUUAGGAGAAAGUCAGAAAGCAGUCAGCCCGUUGAGGAAACACUUUUGCUUUACAUGCUGGGUAAAUGCACGCACUGCUCUGCCAGGGUCCAUGUGGCCGAACUGUGUCCAGAAAAGAGCCUCCUGUGUCUCCUCAGCUCAGACAUGAAGCCCAUCCUCACUUCAGUGCUUGUGAUCAUAUUGACACUCAGAGGAAUUAGAGCCCAGACGGUGACUCAGCCUGAGGACCACAUCUCAGUUCUUAAAGGGACUUCGAUGCAGGUGAAGUGCAACUACGAAUAUUCUGGGAGUCCUUACCUCUUUUGGUAUGUCCAGUACCCCAAACACAGCCUCCAGUUUCUCCUGAAACACAUCUCAAGAGGCAGCACCAAAGGUUUCACGGCUGACCUUAACCAGAGUGAGGCAUCCUUCCACCUGAAGAAACAAGUAGCUCAAGAGGAAGACUCAGCUGUGUAUUACUGUGCGCUGAGUGCCACAGUGCCUGGUUUACAAAGGAAGCAGAUCACAAACCCAGCAAAUACUUCGUUGUAAGUUCUCUACAUGGCCACAGUGGGGCAUUCUCUCUCUAAAGACCAACACUGAGUUUACUUCUUAGAUAAAAUAUCAUCAGUUGUCUGUUAGCUAAAGAUUAACCUCAAAAUAAUUUGUCCAAGAAAAUUCUUAUUACUGUCUGCCUAAAUUAAUUUUUAAAUUAGCUAGUGUACUUAUUUUACCUACUGUUACCUGGAAAAAUACUUUUGAAAUAAACAA